rnacentral:misc_RNA from 1 species
GAUUCACACACGGUCCCAAGCACCUCAGGCUGAAGCACGGAGCAUUUCUGGUCCAGUUAUUACGUGUAAUCUUAUGUUUGCAGAGUAUUAAUGCUUGAAACAAAAUGCCAUCGCAAAUUAUUCGAUCGUAUUCCGGACGUGUGCUUGUGUUAACAAUAACAGUUGCAGCUGUUUACGCAAUUGUUUGUUUCAACGGAUCAAAGUCUGACCUGGACGGGAAACUUGGUGACAUUCAAACCUCCAUUCGUAAGCUGUCUUUGGACAUCAAAGGGGCGGUGAAUGAGGUGCAUCUUCCAGUUGAAGUGAGGGCCGAACCGUUGCCUCAAUCACAGCCGUUUAAGAAGAUGCCUUCCUGGCACGGAAUUGCGUACAAAAGAACGAACGGGUCAUGGGUAGCAGACGACAGUAUGUGUACGGAGGAUGAGGUGUAUGAUGAGGCGACUCUAAAAACACCUGCUGGAAAUACGCGCAUCUUUAUCCACGCCAUCAAGGACGAUAUCGUUGUUUCGAACACUCUGAAGAAAGUUGGCGUUUGGGAGCCGGAUGUCAUGUACACUUCUUUUGAAAUACUGAAAGAAAAUAAAGAACACGUUUUCAUCGAUGUCGGGGGAAAUAUUGGAACAUUCAGUCUCGCUGCAGCUAAACUAGGGAACAGGGUCAUCUCCGUUGAACCGUAUGAUGUCAACACCAAACGCCUGUGCCGAGGUGUGGUAAAAGGUGGGUUUGCUGGACAGAUGUUUGUCAUACACAACGCAAUGUCUGAUGUAAGGCAACCCAUCGCCUUUAAGAUUUACAAGGGUAGUAUUGCCCAUACUCGUAUUGAGAAGAAAACUAACCUCAAUCAAAGCAGCGACGCGAUAACCACCAUUCAGAUGAACGAUCUUUUGGAGAUGUUUGAUAUCAAGUCCGCUGUUUUGAAACUUGACUGUGAGGACCACGAAGUACAGGUGAUGAAGGGUGCUGAGGCGUUCUUCAAUGUGGUUGACGUGCGCAUGGUAAUUAUUGAAUGGGACAAACUUUUCCAAAACCCAGAAGCACCAUAUAUAAUAGAAAUGAUGAAACGAUUCAAGUUGAAACCCUAUACGAUUGGCAAAGAUGCGAAGCCUUUUAACAAGUCUGACUAUACUCUGAGUAGAAGGAACAUUGUGUUCAAAAAGGAAUAACACAUGAAUAUACAUAUCUCAUGUAAGUUUUAAUUAGUCAUAGUGCAUCAAAUACAUGGCUUCAUAUGCAUGUGUCAUGUGACAAAAAAAGAGGGAUGACUUCAACUUUGCAAUAUAAUAAACUUUCCCUUGAUGUCGAAUAAUUUUCCAGCCUCUUUUCCAGUGUCUUGGCUUCACAACUUUUGAGCAAAAUCAGUGAACCAGGACGAAGAAUAUUUCCUGAAGUAAGACGAUGAUUGAAACGUUUGGCAGACAGGCUUGAUGAAGACUAUAAAUAUUAUCAGCAAACUAAAAGGAAAAGUGCAGGCAUUUGCACAGCUGGUGGUUUAUUUACACUCACUGGGUUCCUGGUUGCACCUCCAGUAGCCAUAGCAGGUGCAGUGCUCGGACUUGCGGGUGGAGUUUCUGGAGCAGCCAUCCAUAUUACUGAACAGUCUUCUGUCAACGCGCAUGUUGACGGGGAAUUAGCUCUUGGGGGAAUCAAGGACAAAAUCGACAUCACUGUCCCGGAACGUUUCAUGCACAACAUGUAAACAAUAAACAACAAGUA